AACGAACGCUGGCGGCAUGCCUAACACAUGCAAGUCGAACGAGACCUUCGGGUCUAGUGCGCACGGGUGCGUAACGCGUGGGAACCUGCCCUUAGGUUCGGAAUAACUCCCCGAAAGGGGUGCUAAUACCGGUUAAUGUCUUCGGACCAAAGAUUUAUCGCCUUUGGAUGGGCCCGCGUUGGAUUAGCUAGUUGGUAGGGUAAAAGCCUACCAAGGCGACGAUCCAUAGCUGGUCUGAGAGGAUGAUCAGCCACACUGGGACUGAGACACGGCCCAGACUCCUACGGGAGGCAGCAGUGGGGAAUAUUGGACAAUGGGCGAAAGCCUGAUCCAGCAAUGCCGCGUGAGUGAUGAAGGCCUUAGGGUUGUAAAGCUCUUUUACCCGGGAUGAUAAUGACAGUACCGGGAGAAUAAGCUCCGGCUAACUCCGUG
rnacentral:rRNA from 1 species